CAGCAGCCGCGGGAAUACGAAGGGUGCAAGCGUUACUCGGAAUUACUGGGCGUAAAGCGUGCGCAGGCGGUGUUGUAAGACUGAUGUGAAAUCCCCGGGCUCAACCUGGGAACUGCAUUGGUGACUGCAACGCUGGAGUGCGGCAGAGGGGGAUGGAAUUCCGCGUGUAGCAGUGAAAUGCGUAGAUAUGCGGAGGAACACCGAUGGCGAAGGCAAUCCCCUGGGCCUGCACUGACGCUCAUGCACGAAAGCGUGGGGAGCAAACAGGAUUAGAUACCCCUGUAGUCCCUGUCUCUUAUAC
rnacentral:rRNA from 1 species